rnacentral:rRNA from 1 species
AUUGAACGCUGGCGGCAUGCCUUACACAUGCAAGUCGAACGGUAACAGGUCUUCGGAUGCUGACGAGUGGCGAACGGGUGAGUAAUACAUCGGAACGUGCCCGAUCGUGGGGGAUAACGGAGCGAAAGCUUUGCUAAUACCGCAUGCGAUCUACGGACGAAAGCAGGGGAUCGCAAGACCUUGUGCUACUAGAGCGGCCGAUGGCAGAUUAGGUAGUUGGUGGGAUAAAAGCUUACCAAGCCGACGAUCUGUAGCUGGUCUGAGAGGACGAUCAGCCACACUGGGACUGAGACACGGCCCAGACUCCUACGGGAGGCAGCAGUGGGGAAUUUUGGACAAUGGGCGCAAGCCUGAUCCAGCAAUGCCGCGUGCAGGAUGAAGGCCUUCGGGUUGUAAACUGCUUUUGUACGGAACGAAAAGCCCUGGGUUAAUACCCUGGGGUCAUGACGGUACCGUAAGAAUAAGCACCGGCUAACUACGUGCCAGCAGCCGCAGUAAUAC